GGAGGUACAAAAAUAUUCAAAACGAGGCAAGAUUCGUGUUGUCGGUUUGUUGAUUGCAUUAUCCGAUAAAAGUGGAUUUGGGAACCUUUAGGUUUCUCACUUCCAGCAAACAACCUGUCUCGCCAUUUAGUUUGAGGACACGCUAAAGAAUCAUUUGCUUCCUUAACAAAUUUUGAAUGCAUGAUAACCUCAGACGGUGGCAUAAAUCUUAAUGACCCAGAGGCAAAAGGUAUUCCAAAAUAUCCUUCAACUGUGCGGAGUUGCGAUUCUCUUGGGAAUUCAACUAACACCCCUCUAAUCUUUCCUUUGGAGGUAGUUAUUGGCCUUUGUGCUAGUUGAUGAAUUGAUACCGGUGCU
rnacentral:lncRNA from 1 species